AGAGUUUGAUCAUGGCUCAGAACGAACGCUGGCGGCAGGCUUAACACAUGCAAGUCGAACGCAUCCUUCGGGGUGAGUGGCAGACGGGUGAGUAACACGUGGGAACGUACCUUUCGGUUCGGGAUAACCCAGGGAAACUUGGGCUAAUACCGGAUACGUCCUUAGGGAGAAAGAUUUAUUGCCGAGAGAUCGGCCCGCGUCUGAUUAGCUAGUUGGUGAGGUAAAGGCUCACCAAGGCGACGAUCAGUAGCUGGUCUGAGAGGAUGAUCAGCCACACUGGGACUGAGACACGGCCCAGACUCCUACGGGAGGCAGCAGUGGGGAAUAUUGGACAAUGGGCGCAAGCCUGAUCCAGCCAUGCCGCGUGAGUGAUGAAGGCCUUAGGGUUGUAAAGCUCUUUCGGCGGGGACGAUAAUGACGGUACCCGCAGAAGAAGCCCCGGCUAACUUCGUGCCAGCAGCCGCGGUAAUACGAAGGGGGCUAGCGUUGUUCGGAAUCACUGGGCGUAAAGGGCGCGUAGGCGGCUUUAUAAGUCGGGGGUGAAAGCCUGUGGCUCAACCACAGAAUUGCCUUCGAUACUGUAUGGCUUGAGACCGGAAGAGGUAAGUGGAACUGCGAGUGUAGAGGUGAAAUUCGUAGAUAUUCGCAAGAACACCAGUGGCGAAGGCGGCUUACUGGUCCGGUUCUGACGCUGAGGCGCGAAAGCGUGGGGAGCAAACAGGAUUAGAUACCCCAGUAGUCC
rnacentral:rRNA from 1 species